CCAGGGGUUUUCACAGGGAAGUGGAGCCAUGAAGACAGGCAGCAGCCCAGUGCUGAAGGUAAGGAUUGGGUGGAACUUACUCUGUCUUUGGCAUUGAGGUCUGCUUCGCAGGCGAUGAGGUGCUCGGCACAGUCGUACUGCCCUGUUCUCACAGCUACGUGCAGAGGGGUGCUGCGUAGCUUGUCUCUUGCGUUUCUGUUUAUUCCUUUGUCCAGUAAGAAUUUCACAAUCUCCAGGUUUCCUCCCCG
rnacentral:lncRNA from 1 species